GACGAACGCUGGCGGCGCGCUUAACACAUGCAAGUCGAACGGAAAGGCCUGCUUUCCCUUGUGGAUUGCGGGUACUCGCGUGGCGAACGGGUGAGUAACACGUGAGUUAUCUGCCCCCAACUUGGGUAUAAGCCUGGGAAACUGGGUCUAAUUCCCGAUAGGACUGCAGGGUGGUUCCUGUGGUGGAAAACGAUUUUCUAGUGGUUGGGGAUGAGCUCGCGGCCUAUCAGCUUGUUGGUGGGGUAAUGGCCUACCAACGCGGCGACGGGUAGCCGGCAUGGGAGGGUGGACGGCCACAGUGGGACUGAGAUACGGCCCAGACUCCUACGGGAGGCAGCAGUGGGGAAUAUUGCACGAUGGGCGGAAGCCUGAUGCAGCGACGCCGCGUGGGGGAUGACGGCCUUCGGGUGGUAAACUCCUUUCGACCGCGAGGAAGCCACCUGGUUGGAGGGGUGGUGACGGUAGUGGUAGAAGAAGCACCGGCUAACUACGUG
rnacentral:rRNA from 1 species